rnacentral:lncRNA from 1 species
GUCUAAUCCAGUCUGACUGGUGUCCUUAAAAGGUGCACGGGGGAAGGACUAUGUGAAGACACAGUGAGAAGAUGGUCAUCUGCAACCCCAGGAAAGAGGCCUCAGAGGAAAUCAACCCUGCCAACACCUUGAUCUUGGACUUCUGCCCUCCAAAAGUGUGAAGAAAGCAACCUGGAGUUGAAGGUCUUGCAGUUCAGAAGUGGAGAAGGAUCUCUUUAUAUUCUGAGCAUUUCCUGGAGGGCAGAAACUGACCUCGUGCUCAUCUUUAGAUUCUGAGGGCUCAGCAAAUAGUGAAUUUUUGGUAAAUGUGUUUUGGACUUAGAACUAAAUUUUAGAUAAAUCAACUGCUCAGAGUAAAAGGCAGCCACUUGGGGAAGUGAUUAAAUGCACGUUUAAAACUCAGCCUCUGGGACAGCCCGGAGCACUGGGCUGCUCUGAGAGGUGUCCUCUGCUCAGCCAAGGUAAGGACAGGGUGGCCCUGGCGACAAGGGGAGCAAAACUGGAAAUGGGACUUGACGGAAAGGAGAGUAGGGGACCAUUGACUGAAACUAGAAAAUGAAGAGGUGGAGAUGAUUUUGUGCAGAAUCCAGUGGAGGGUUUGAGAGGCCAGAAGGCUGUGUGCAUGGAGAUGUUCAGCCAGCAGCCUGGAGCUGUGGAAGGGAGCCAUCAGGACUCUGGCUGGGGAAGGAGAGCCUGAGGACUCAGCCUGGCUCCUCCUUCUGCCUCACUCCCCCUCUUCACCAAUUGGCAGGUUUGCUAAUUCUACCUUUUAUGUAUUCUUAAAUCUUUUCCUUCCUGCCUACUACUUGCAACCAUAUGUCCUCAUAAUCUCUUCCUUAGAUGACUGCCUUCUCACAGGUCUCCCCUGCCAGCCUCUGCUCCUCUUAGAUUCACCCUUCACACCAUCACCAGUCACUUGCCUGAAAUGAAAUUCUCAGGAUCUCCUUUGCCUUCUCAAAGCCUGUCCCAUGCUGGAAUCCCUCUCAUUCUUCAAGACUCAGCACAGGCAUCCUGUCCUCCAGAAGGUGGUCCCUGAAGUUCC